rnacentral:rRNA from 1 species
CCCUUAGAUGUUCUGGGCCGCACGCGCGCUACACUGUUCGACGCAGCGAGUCUUAACCUUGACCGAAAGGUUUGGGUAAUCUUCAGCAAAGUCGAACGUGAUGGGGAUCGAUCAUUGCAAUUAUUGAUCGUGAACGAGGAAUUCCUAGUAAGUGCAAGUCAUCAGCUUGCGCUGAUUACGUCCCUGCCCUUUGUACACACCGCCCGUCGCUACUACCGAUUGAAUGGUUUAGUGAGAUCUCUGGAUUGACGCUGGCUAGGGGGCGACCCUUGGCCAGGCUGUCGAGAAACUGCUCAAACUUGAUCAUUUAGAGGAAGUAAAAGGCGUAACA